rnacentral:rRNA from 1 species
GUACACGCUGUGACUAGCAUAUCAAUAAGCGGAGGAAAAGAAACUAACAAGGAUUCCCUUAGUAACGGCGAGUGAAGCGGGAAGAGCUCAAAUUUGAAAUCUUCAAGGUUUUACCUUGACGAAUUGUAGUUUAAAGAAGUGUUUUCUGCUGGAGUUUUGGUAAAAGUUCUUUGGAAUAGGACAUCAUAGAGGGUGAGAAUCCCGUAUUUGACCAUUAUUUCCAGCUUUGUGAUACACUUUCAAAGAGUCGGAUUGUUUGGGAAUGCAGUCCAAAAUGGGUGGUAAAUUUCAUCUAAAGCUAAAUAUUGGCGAGAGACCGAUAGCGAACAAGUACCGUGAGGGAAAGAUGAAAAGAACUUUGAAAAGAGAGUUAAACAGUACGUGAAAUUGUCAAAAGGGAAGCGUUUGACACCAGUGUUGUUUUCUCGAAAAUCAAUUAAAAUAGGCAGGAUUUUGUGUUGUAUUGACUUUAUCAGCUUUCUGCACUCUUUUCUUGUCUUUUUUAAUGCACUUUUCGUUUAACAAGUCAACAUCAGUUUCUUUUGUUGUAAAAGGGUCAUUGGAAGGUGGCUUUCUUUUCGGAGAAAGUGUUUAUAGCCUUUGGCCUCUGCAAUCGGAGAGAUUGAGGUCUGCAGCGUAGAUCCUUCGGGGUUAGAUACAUUUGUGCUAAGUUAUAGCCUUUUCAUAGACAACUUGUUGACUAUAAUCAGUCAUGUAGCUUACUCGCUUAUGCUAUUUUACCUACGCUUAGGAUGUUGAUCUACAGAGCGAGAGU